GGUGGUUUGCCCACUCCACCUUUUAUUCUCCUUGGGUGGUUCAUAGGAAGAGGCCAAGAGAGAGAGAAGGAUGCUGUAUUUAUGGGAAAAGGCUACCAGAAUUUCCAUCCGAGGUUGGUGGUCCAUUCCUCUACCUAUGUGGAAGGCAGGUUCUCCUUGACAAUAGCCAGGUCUGCAUGUGUCUUCCACUCAAUCUACAACGUAUCCACGGAGAGUGACCUUGUACUCAGUACUCAGUACUCCAGCCCCUUGGCUGGAGUUAGCUCUGCCCGCUCCACCCCUGUGCCUUUUCUGGCCCACUUGAAAUUUGAUGUCUUGGGUUGUAGCCUAUUUUUAAGGUUGAGUCUCACUCUUAGACUAUGAGCUCUUGAAAAAUAAUAACUGUGUCUUAUUUGUCUUUGCUCUUCCACUUACAUAUAGGAACUACUAAUGACAUUUAGCAAAUGUCUCUUUAUCUUUUGAUGGAGCAGAGAGAGGUCUGAGGAUGAACUGCUUUCAUCUUCUCGCUGUGUGAUCUUGCACGGGUCCUUUCCUAUCCCUCCUCUGCCACUCUUCUAGGACCGAAGGGGUUCGAGGGUGACCUUUCUGGCCACUUGCAAUUGCUAAGAGUGUAUUGAUUUGAGAAUUAAAGGAACGUGGCUCUUGAAAUGUGUGUGCGGUAGAGGCCAUCCAAAAUAGCUAAUGAAGAAACAUCCUGGGGAUUACGCCAAGUUCACAACGCAUUUUAAUGAGCCGUGAGUGUGUGUGAAUGCGUGUGUCGACCACAUGCACAUUGAUGGCUGUGGCAGGGAGGACGCUGUUUCUGAGAGUAGAGUCCUCACUUCUGAGAAACUUACAGAAGGUGGAACAGAUCACGCCGUAUUUCAUAGCAGCCUAAUUCUGACAUGCAUCUGCAAGCCUCAUAAGUCGUGGUUUGGUCGGUGCUGCCCAUCAAAUCAACUUCCUGAACUUGUUUUCAUCUGAACUCCAAGGCAGCCCAGGCGCGGGGGGAGCGCAAUCGCUCGUGUCUGACUGGCUGCCUCUGAAGUCGUCCGUUACCAGUAGUCUGUUUAGAAGGUGGAUUGUUAAUUGUUUGAUUUUUCUGCCAACAGGAUUCCCUG
rnacentral:lncRNA from 10 species